GACGUAGGUGGCGAGCGUUACUCGGAAUCACUAGGCGUAAAGCGCGUGUAGGCGGGUGCUUAAGUCUGCUGUGAAAUCUCCCGGCUCAACUGGGAGGGGUCAGCAGAUACUGGGCGUCUGGAGUGAGGCAGGGGGGUACUGGAAUUCCCGGUGUAGCGGUGAAAUGCGUAGAUAUCGGGAGGAACAUCAAUGGCGAAGGCAGGUAACCUGGGCCUUUUACUGACGCUAAGACGCGAAAGCUAGGGGAGCAAACAGG
rnacentral:rRNA from 1 species